GUGUCAGCAGCCGCGGUAAUACGUAGGGUGCGAGCGUUAAUCGGAAUUACUGGGCGUAAAGGGUGCGCAGGCGGCCCCGCAAGUCAGGCGUGAAAUCCCCGGGCUUAACCUGGGAAUGGCGCUUGAAACUACGGGGCUGGAGUAUGGCAGAGGGAGGUGGAAUUCCACGUGUAGCGGUGAAAUGCGUAGAGAUGUGGAGGAACACCGAUGGCGAAGGCAGCCUCCUGGGCCAAUACUGACGCUCAUGCACGAAAGCGUGGGGAGCAAACAGGAUUAGAAACCCCCGUAGUCC
rnacentral:rRNA from 1 species